UCUUGCUGAGUCAAAGCCCACAUCACCUCCCCCAGUCUCAACCAAUGGGUGAUCUGGAACCCCAGUUGAGCCUUGUAGGACCAGGGCCAUGAUGUGUAGACCCCCCAAGACAGCUAAACCCCCAGGACUGCAGCUGAGGCACCCACAGCCCCUGACCUAUAAGUAGACAGAAGCCCCUUGGGGUGGCUCCAAGGGUUUUGCUGCUUCAACUACCAGGAAGUGACAGAACAGCCCCUUCUGCUGCCACCACGGCUACAAGGACACAAGGUCUGUGCUACCUCAACUUCUAGCAUCUCUAUGCACUGGUGGUUUGGGGUCUACGUGAGGCCAAAUGCAAGCCCCCAUCUCACCCCAGCAGGAGCAGGGGAGUCCAGGGGAGACUAGGGCUGAGCAGCAGAUGCAUGGGGAGAGCUGUCCUGCCGCCUCUGCCUCAGUCGGCUGGGGCCUCCUGCACGUUCCUCCCUUCUGGCAAGAGCGGGGAGCACAGACAUCGCCCCCAGCAUCCGCCUCACUCUCAAUGGAUGCGGCCUUUUGAAAGGGUUCUGAGAAAGCCUCAGAAGUGGAAAUUUGCCCUGCAGGCCCUCCUCCUGGUACAGCCAGCCACUGCAGAGUCCCACGGUAAGUGAUUGCACGGGAAUCUGGGCACAGAAGCAGGCAGAAUAUACUGAUAGAAGUUACCUUUGCACACUCGGGCCCAGGGUAUGAUGGGUACCCACCCUAAGGCUGGCAAUCAGGUACUGUUCCCAUGGUGCUCCCAAAGUGAACUCAGGACACAACGCUAGGAAAUGGCAAGGUGACCCCAGGGCCCUCUAGAGGGAUGCGCCAGGAGGGCAAGUACCAGGACAGCAAGUGGAAAGGGGACUGUCUUCCCGCAGUGUGCCACGGGGGCAGACCUCAAUUCUGUCACUCAAGUCUUGUGCUUCUAGAAAGCCCAGACUCAGUGGGGCCCUGGGGAAAUCACAGCAGUUGCACAGAUAACAACAGCCUCUCUGGGGUGGCAUCGUGUGCUCCUCAACCAGUGUUUUGAACGCCUGCUCUGUGCCAGGACUGCGGGGUAGCGGGGACGGUGGCCAAGCGGGCCCAUUGCAGCGUGAUGGGCAGUGCCAGGGGUCGGGGUCAAGCCUUGGAACCACCAAACCCCAGCAGACACCGGGCAAGGGAGGAGAGGGCUGCCAGCCCAGGGAGCAGCAAGGUGGAAAAAGCCUUGAACGCCCAACUGGGAGUUCAGUUUAAAAUAGAAGGCGCUGGGCAGCCGGUGCCAGUGAGAAACGGGAGCUGAGAUCACCCUGGAGGCCGGUGGCAGGAGGCUGCUGUAAGUCUGGGUGAGAGACAAGGGGCUGGCCACAGCAGCAGAGGGGUGCAGCAAUGAAGGAAGGCCAGCUACAGAGUGGCUGGGCCUGGUGAGGUCCUGGGCCUGGUGGAGGGUGGUUGGUCCUGCAGGAGCCCAGGGGCAGCUCCACCCAGGAGGGGCUGCUGAGAACCGGGGCCCAAUCUGCACCUUGUCUCCAGCAAGGGGCCCCCACGGUCUGGUGACCUCUUUCUAGCAUUGGCUGUUGAUCUCCCACUUCUCCCUCAGGUAGGAGGUGGGGUUGAACACCCCCCUACAUAAUCUACAGCUGAAUGAUUCUGGCACUAUAAAGACUCCCAGUUCAAGAGCUGAGGCAUUGCAGUUUAUAAACUCUCCUGGAAGGGACCCUGGAGCCACACGCAGGUCUAGAUAUGUUGGAGCCCCUUCGCUGUAGAAGUAAAUUUCCAAGGAUCCAGAAGGGUUCCGAUAUGCCUAGCAAUGAGGUCGCCAAGCCUCCGGGCCUGGUGGGGCACACCUAUAAUCCCAGCAACCCUGGAGGCGGAAGCAGGAGGAUGUGCUGGAGUGUGAACACAGGAUCUUGUGCAUGCUAGGCAAGUUUUCUCCCACCAAACUACAUCUCCAGUGCCAGUUAAACUGUUUCUUCUACCAAAUGAACAGAGUAUCAGUGAACUACGGGACAACAUCAGUCAGACAUACAUGCAACUGGAGUCCCCAAAUUGAGGAGAGAGGAGGGCAAUAAACAUGGAAGAAAUAACUGUUUAAAGAAAAGGUAUGGAAAGCACCUCUGAGCUGCCAAGGUAGACAGCGUGAGCAAAACUCACCCGAGGUGAAAAAAGUUAUGGACAAAAAGUUACCAUUGAAAUUAAAAGGUGGCAGGCACGUUCAAGAAAGAU